AUUGAACGCUGGCGGCAGGCCUAACACAUGCAAGUCGAACGAGUGGCGGACGGGUGAGUAAUGUCUGGGAAACUGCCCGAUGGAGGGGGAUAACUACGGGAAACGUUGCCAAAUACGGAUUCCAUGGAAGUGCCCAGAUGGGAUUAGUUGGUGGGUGGGGUAACGGCUCACCAAGCCAACGAUCCCUAGCUGGUCUGAGAGGAUGACCAGCCACACUGGAACUGAGACACGGUCCAGACUCCUACGGGAGGCAGCAGUGGGGAAUAUUGCGCAAUGGGCGCAAGCCUGAUGCAGCCAUGCCGCGUGUAUGAAGAAGGCCUUCGGGUUGUAAAGUACUUUCAGCGAGGAGGCGUUACUCGCAGAAGAAGCACCGGCUAACUCCGUGCCAGCAGCCGCGGUAAUUC
rnacentral:rRNA from 1 species